rnacentral:misc_RNA from 1 species
UUUCCGUAGGUGAACCUGGGGAAGGAUCAUUAUCGAAUUUCGAGGGGAAGGAAGAUGAGGAGUGGAGACUGUCGCUGGCUUUCCCGACUGGGAAGCAUGUGCACGCCUUGCUUUUCGUUGACCUUUCUCUUACUCUCACACCUGUGCACCCAUUGUAGGUCCUCGAAAGAGGAUCUAUGUUUUUAUCAUCACACGCAUCGUAUGUCCAUGGAAUGUAACAUGAUCGUCGAUCGACCUCGCGGUCGGGUGGCGGUCUAAAUAAAUAAAUACAACUUUCAGCAACGGAUCUCUUGGCUCUC